CACUGAUCAAAAUCAGCUAUUCAAAGUGAAAGAGAUGAGCUGCGGCGACUUCACAGUUCCAAAGGGAUGCCGAUUCCAUCACUCCGACGAGGAGCUGCUUAGUCACUACUUGGAGGAGAAGAAUCAGUGCAAGGACUCCCAGAUCACGACCAUCAUCCCUGAAAUCGAUGUGUGCAAGCACGAGCCUCGCGAGUUACCAGAACUGGCGUUCACAAGGGCGGAAAGUCUGGGGAGUGUCUUGGGACAAUCAAGGAAAGUGGUACUUCUUCACUCCAUGUGAUUACAAGUACAAUAACAGCACUCGCUCCAACAGGACUACAGGGGAAGGGUUUUGGAAGAUCACAGGCAAGGACCGUGCAAUCAAGGCCCCCGGCUCCAAAGCUGUGAUUGGGAGAAAGAGGACCUUGACCUUCUACAAACGUGGAGUGCCGAAAUCCCAGAAGACCAACUGGGUUAUUCACUUAUUCAUGAGUAUUAUCUCAUUCAGGCACAUUCUGAUCCUCCUAAGCAGAUAGGGGACUUUGUUGUCUGCUGCUUGAAGUACAAGUCAGACAACUUUGAUCAUGAAUUCAUGAUAAGGAUGCUCCAUUCUGCGAUCGAGGUAGCAGUAACUGCAGUAUGGCCUCCAAUGUUGAAAAUCAAGCUGAUCGAUGAAAACUGGGCAUCGGAAGAGCUGGUAAAUGUUGUUCCAAUUCCCAGUAGAAAUGAUGAUGAAACUGGUGGUGGUAUGAUUACAGAAGAAGAGGAAUACCUGACUUUAGAGGAGGUGGAAGAUAUUCUUCACAUUCCCAUUGGCAAUCGGCAUGAAUUGGAAGGCACGCAAACUGAUCCUUGUUGUUUAGAUAAGAAUGAUCUUUCAACCUCUGUUGAAGGUCGACCUAAUAGAAGCAAUUCGUCUGAUCUGAUUGAAGAGCUACCAGAUAACCCAGAAAAUCUGGAUUCACUCUUUCAUCCGCCUGCACCACCUCAACUGCAUCAGCUAUAUCAGUCACCAAUGUAUACCACCAAUGUCCAUAAUAAUGAAUGUCGUAAGAGAACAUAUCCAUUUGAGGAUUAGACCCUUCUUCUAAGAAGAAGAACAUUUCAACCAAUGAUAAUGACGAAUUAGUUAGCAACACCGCAUCUAGUUCUGAAAAUCAAGCUGCAAAUAUGAUUCCAGAGGGAUAUUCUCAACUAGGAGCAAAUCUGGGAUCAGACUUUGAUUCAUUUUGUGUAAUUAUACAUUACCAUCAAUAAACGGAGGACCGAGAGAUUUUUCCCAUGACAAUAAUUUGAUUAAUUUCAUUGAGUGGGAUGAUUUACUAUCUUUAUACGAAGGUAAUGACUAUUCUCUCGCACAGUUCCCACAUACAGUUAUUGAUGGAGGUAGAGGAGUAACCAGUGACAGAAACACCGAAGUAGUACAUGGAUCGGUAAACGAUUAUUCUGCAUUAGCCAUUGGAGCAUCGCUCCAGUGUAGCUAAUCAACCUCUAUUUGUAGGAGAAUAUCAAAGGAGGCCUCAGUAAUAAUGUGUCUCUAACUUGCAUUAUUAUAGUCGGAGAUAUUCUCCUACAAAUGAUUCAAAGAUCUCCAAGUUAUAUGAAAUGCUCAGCUGUGUUGAUUGGCAUACAAUUGCAGCUUUUCUGCAUUUCUUGUACUGGAGGCUUUGGAAACUUCUUAAUCGUUUUUCCAUUCAAUUACAACUCAGGACAGCAGCAACUAGUCCUGUUUUUCUUUUCUUUUUCUUUUGGGAGUGGGGGAGGCAUUGCAGGUGUCACAGCAUCCCCCAGUGAACUUUUGGUUGAAAGUGAGACGGGCGAAUGCAUAUGGUUCAAAUGCCAUCUGGAAGUCUACCCUUCUCUGAUUGUGAUGAGUCCAGGCGAAUAAAGGUGUCUCUUCUCAUAAGCAACUCCUUGGAGGUGGAGCUUCCUCUGUCAACAUUACUACCUAUAUUCAUUCCUCAGAUCAUCUUCUUAAUAUAAGUACCGAUAUUCCUUCCUCUGAUCAAACAUCGUGUCAACUGAAAUACCGAUAUUUGUUCCUCAUAUCCGUAGUUUUCAAAUGUCCUAAAAUCAAAGGACAUAACUAUCCACAUCCAUUUCUUCAGAUCCCCAAUAGUGAAUCCCUAGGAUCACCAAUAGUUGUUCCUCAAACAAAUAGUCAGCAAUUAGUAUGUCCUUAAGAUCAAAGGACAUACGCAAAACAUCAAUAUCAUCUAAUAUCCAGUCAUUGAGACAAACAUGGGAGGUGCUCCUAGAAGAAUCCAACUGCAGAGCAGCAUCACAAGCCAAGGCAGUGAAGUUGCAGAGGCAUUAUACUGCUAUUUAUCUGCCCCAGAAGUAGAGGUGGCAAACGGGCCGGCCCGACCCAUUUUAAGCGGGCUUAGUCGUGCUUCGUGACGUGCUUGGGCCGGCCCAUUUAUUAUCGUGC